CCCUUAGAUGUUCUGGGCCGCACGCGCGCUACACUGUUUGAUUCAGCGAGUCUUAACCUUGACCGAAAGGUUUGGGUAAUCUUCUAAAGUCAAACGUGAUGGGGAUCGAUCAUUGCAAUUAUUGAUCGUGAGCGAGGAAUUCCUAGUAAAUGCAAGUCAUCAGCUUGCGUUGAUUACGUCCCUGCCCUUUGUACACACCGCCCGUCGCUACUACCGAUUGAAUGGUUUAGUGAGAUCUCCGGAUUGGCUCUGUAGGUCCCGCAAGGGAUUUAUUAGUAGCCAAGAAGCUGCUCAAACUUGAUCAUUUAGAGGAAGUAAAAGUCGUAACA
rnacentral:rRNA from 1 species